UCCACCAGAACAAAAUAUUAACAAGAGCACUCAGAGAGUGCAAACCUCUACCAAAGCAGCACCAACGUCCUUUCAGUGAUUAGCCAGAGAUGAUUUUUAAAAUGGGAAUAUCUGAAAUAAACUUGACUGCUCUCACAAAGAAGAAUACUAAAAAUGAACCCAACUGCUCUCAAAGAUUAAGUG